GAUGAACGCUGGCGGCGUGCCUAGUACAUGCAAGUCGAACGCAUAGCGAAAGGUGCUUGCACCUUUCAAGUGAGUGGCGAACGGGUGAGUAACACGUGGACAACCUGCCUCAAGGCUGGGGAUAACAUUUGGAAACAGAUGCUAAUACCGAAUAAAACUUAGUGUCGCAUGACACAAAGUUAAAAGGCGCUUCGGCGUCACCUAGAGAUGGAUCCGCGGUGCAUUAGUUAGUUGGUGGGGUAAAGGCCUACCAAGACAAUGAUGCAUAGCCGAGUUGAGAGACUGAUCGGCCACAUUGGGACUGAGACACGGCCCAAACUCCUACGGGAGGCUGCAGUAGGGAAUCUUCCACAAUGGGCGAAAGCCUGAUGGAGCAACGCCGCGUGUGUGAUGAAGGCUUUCGGGUCGUAAAGCACUGUUGUAUGGGAAGAACAGCUAGAAUAGGAAAUGAUUUUAGUUUGACGGUACCAUACCAGAAAGGGACGGCUAAAUACGUG
rnacentral:rRNA from 1 species